CUUGAUGAAAUAUGAGAGGUCCAGCCUGCCCAGUGACCUAGUUCAACGGCCGCGGUAUCCUAACCGUGCGAAGGUAGCGUAAUCACUUGUUCUUUAAAUGAGGACUAGUAUGAAUGGCAUCACGAGGGUUAAACUGUCUCCUUUUUCUAAUCAGUGAAACUAAUCUCCCCGUGAAGAAGCGGGGAUUAUUUUAUAAGACGAGAAGACCCUAUGGAGCUUAAAACAAAUUUACACCUGCUUUAAUAUAUAACCCUCCCGAGGACUCACACAAAUUAUAGCAUAACUGAUAAUUAGUUUUCGAUUGGGGUGAUCAUGGAGAAAAAACCAACCUCCACGACGACAAGGGGGAGCACCUCCUGAGCCAAAAGCCACAACUUUCAGCACUAAAAAAUUAACGCACUUUGACCCAAUUACUUGAGCAACGAAC
rnacentral:rRNA from 3 species